rnacentral:rRNA from 1 species
AUUGAACGCUGGCGGCAGGCCUAACACAUGCAAGUCGAGCGGAGCGGCGGAAGGGGGAGGAAUGCCUAGGAAGCUGCCUGGUAGUGGGGGAUAACGUCCGGAGAGGGGCGCCAAGACAGCAGAAGAGAAGGUGAGCCUAGGUCGCAUUAGCUAGUUGGUGGGGUAAAGGCCUACCAAGGCGACGAUCCGUAACUGGUCUGAGAGGAUGAUAGGUCACACUGGAACUGAGACACGGUCCAGACUCCUACGGGAGGCAGCAGUGGGGAAUAUUGGACAAUGGGCGAAAGCCUGAUCCAGCCAUGCCGCGUGUGUGAAGAAGGUUUUCGGAUUGUAAAGCACUUUAAGUUGGGAGGCGUUACCUACAGAAAAAGCAACGGCUAACUUCGUGCCAGCCGCCGCGGUAAUAC